UACGGAGGGGGCUAGCGUUGUUCGGAAUUACUGGGCGUAAAGCGCGCGUAGGCGGACCUGCAAGUCGGGGGUGAAAGCCCGGGGCUCAACUCCGGAACUGCCUUUAAGACUGCAUCGCUAGAAUCCGGGAGAGGUGAGUGGAAUUCCGAGUGUAGAGGUGAAAUUCGUAGAUAUUCGGAAGAACACCAGUGGCGAAGGCGGCUCACUGGACCGGUAUUGACGCUGAGGUGCGAAAGCGUGGGGAGCAAACAGG
rnacentral:rRNA from 1 species